rnacentral:rRNA from 1 species
UGCGUAGGCGGCGUCGUAAGUCAGAAGUGAAAGCUUACAGCUUAACUGUGAAAUUGCUUUUGAUACUGCGGUGCUUGAAUUAGGUUGAGGUUAGCGGAAUGUGACAUGUAGCGGUGAAAUGCAUAGAUAUGUCAUAGAACACCAAUUGCGAAGGCAGCUGGCUAGGCCUAUAUUGACGCUCAGGCACGAAAGCGUGGGGAGCGAACAGGAUUAGAUACCCUGGUAGUCC